AGUUUGCUUUAGGCUCGAUUUAGACUAGUAUUGUGAUCAUGUAUACGUUCGCGUAACAUAAUUGCAAAUUUAAUUCUUAAAAGACUCGAGGUAUGCAUUAGCGCAACUUCAACCAAAUUUUCUUAAUAAAUAAAUAAAACAUUAUUAAUUGUGGACACGUUCGCGUGAUAUGGUUUUUGACGCGCCAAAAGAAAAGAGUACACAUACGCGUAACUCGAUUCUUUAAUUACGAAUAAAUCAAGUUUUUUUAAAAGCGGUAAAAGAUAAUUGCACAUAGGUCUUAAAAAUAUGUUGUUAAACAAUUAAGCCAAAUAUAAAUUGUUAAGCGACCGUGCUAGAACCACGGAAUUCGGGAAUGCCUAACACCUUCUCCUGGGUUAACAUAAUUCCUUACCUAGAAUUUCUGGUUCGCAAACACUUUAAAAAUAAAACUUCCUCGAUUUAGGAUUUAAAAUAAACCGGUGACUUGGGAUACCAAAUAAUUUAUUCUAAGUGGCGACUCUGAUUAAUUAAUUAAUCCCAUUUCGAAUAAUGUCAGUUAAAUUGGAAAAACUCUCUUAUAUACCCUCGGGGUGUGUAAAAAAAAAGGAGGUGUGACAAUGAACACUCGAGAAGUGAAAGUCACAGUGAGAACAUCUCAAAAUAUCAAAAGACCUGCAAUUGGAAGAUCUCAAGGGCAAGGGGAAGAUUCACUAUCAGAAGCAAGAUUUCAAAAGACCCCGAUAUCUUGAUGAAAACCUACAUAGGUCUUUAGAAAAAAAAACUACCUCAAGAAGGACACAAAUGAAAAGAAAACAUGCGGUGAUCUUUAGAAAAAAAGAAAGUCGUGAAUUAAGUGUCGAAUUAGCGUCGAAUUAGCAAAGCAACAUCUAUUUUUUGUAUAAUUUGACGCUAAGUUGCGAAAGCACGUAAAUAUAUUCGCACUUCAAAAAAUAAAGAAGAUGCAAAGUGUACAGCAAAAUUUAUGAAUUUGUAUUUACAUAGUUAUAAAAAAGGGGGAGGGGGUGGGGAUGUACAAGAGAACUUUUAAGGAGAACUACGGGGACCUAAACUAUGGCCUGGGGAUUGGGAAGCGGAAGUAGAAGGGGCGUUUGGGUUAGCAUUGGUUUUCGCCGAAGGGGCAGAGGAAGUAGUGUCAACCUUCCCCCUCUUCGGUCUUCAUCAUCAAGGCCAUCAUCAUUUAAUUCCAUACUUAGCCCUUGUCUGUCAAGAUAAGGAAGACCAAGUAGAUGCCCAGGCUAAAUUGAAAACUAUCAUCUUCUGUACGUCCACAAAGGCCUCUUGAGCAGACUUCCGAUCUUUGUUAUUGGCUAAAACGCUCAACUCAACUGACUCUUAUUCAGAUCUUAUGCCAUGAAUCUUGGACUAUAACUAAGAGAAAUCCUCCCUCAGUCGUGCCUCUUUGCUCGUCUUCAAGGCUAGAUAUCCUUCGAGGGUUAGAAUUCUUUUGAAAGCCCUGAUCCACUCAGCUCAGAGGGUAGCCUCACUGGCUAAGAAUUCUUUCUUCUGAUCGGCAUUUCACUCUACUACUUUUGUUUGCACUAGGAGGGCCUCCUUCUCAGUUGUGUGCUCCUAGAUCACUUUUUGGACCUUCUCAUUUUCAAUCUUCAACAUCUUAUCAUAUCUUACCACCUCCCUUUCCAUGGCCAUAUCGAUUCGAACAUUUUUCAGGGUCCUCUAGGAUAGAGCACUAAGCUGUUUCAGAAUACAAAAAGCAAGUAAGAUAUCUUUAACAUGAUAAGUACAAAAAGAGGGUCAGUAUAGCUAACCUUAGCAGUCUUAUGAGAUAUCUGAGUCACCGACGCCUCAACACUCAUAAACUCUAUUUUGGCCCAUUCCUGCUAGUUCAGCAACUUUGCAAGUUGUGCAGCCACGGGCCUAGGGUUUGUGAAGACCCCCUCCUCCAUAGGAUAAUAAAAACUUAACAACUUUCUGAUUUCCAGCUGGUAGGCACGUAGAACCCACGAUUAACCGAGCCUCAAAACUGUCCCUCGAAUGGAACCUCACAUCUGCAGGUGGGUUGGUAGCGAUUGAUUGAUCCUUUGACUUUUAGGUAAGCGUAGUAGUCAUCCCUCCUCGGGCCUUAAAACUACAUGACGAGAGGCCUCCUUAUCAAAAUCGACCGUGAUGGGAUAGGAUCAAAUCAGCCUAUCAGUAUCAUCCUCCUGAGCAAGUUGAGAACUGCCCUAGGGAACCUCUACUUCAGCCCUAGGGCAUACUCUCCUUUGAAAGACUUGCCGCUUUCAGGUGACAACAUGAAGGUAGGUUUCGUGGAAGUGUCGGCACCAUCCCCCCGAGGUACUUAGGGAAGAAGUUCCCAAAUUAACCUUGAGGCAGUGACCACAGAGGGGAGGCUAGCUAGGGCAUGUAACUGAAAAAGGGACUCUCUUAUGGAGUCUCACCCUUGCUAGGAUUUUUUUCACAUCAAUGGAAAGAAAAGGGGAUAAAAUAAAGAUUCCACAAGGAAAGAAUUAAAUUCAUGAUUAUUGUGGUACAACACUUUAAUACCACCGAGCUUACUAGAAAUGGAUUUCUAAAUCCUCGAGUAGUUGGUUGAAACUUGUAGGAUCUCAAAUGCAUAUCCUUUAAUGUUGGGCACUCUUUCGAGAGGCACAACGAUGGCUGCAAAAACAUUGAAAAUUUAAUAAUUCAAGGUAUAUUACUGAAUCAUGAUGACUUGAAUUAUGAUUAAGAUUCCACUUCCUAGGAAUUGGUUAUUAUCGUUUGUGUAAAGAAAUUUAGUACGAACUACCAAGUGCCUUUCGAAACACCGGUAGUAAUAGUCGUCUCCAUAGUCAGAUAUCAGAGCCUACAAGCCUCGCUGCAACAUGUUAAUUAUGCCUCAUCGAUAAAUCAUGUGGGAGUAAAGGUGAAGGAGAUGCUAAAAACUGAGGCUAACUCCAGCUUUUUCAGCUAGGUGGCGGAGACAUAGAACCUCGGAAUGCAUCGAACAAAUAUAGAGUUUGAUUUUUUAUAAACAAGACAUUUUAAAGAAAAGUAAGGAAGAUGACAAAAACUCAGAGAAAUUAAAACUUGAAAG
rnacentral:lncRNA from 1 species